AUAUUACUGGCCACUCCCCGUGCUGCGACAGGUGCUUCCGGCUGUGUUAAUAAUUGCGAGUCAGGUACCUGAAGUAGCGCGCGGAGUGGCUCGGAACGAUCUC
rnacentral:pre_miRNA from 1 species